rnacentral:ncRNA from 1 species
UAAACCCUAUCAAGCCGAAGUCCCAAGUGCCACUUGGGAUACUAAGUAGGCGAGAUGGGGUUUA